CCUACGGGAGGCAGCAGUGGGGAAUAUUGCACAAUGGGGGAAACCCUGAUGCAGCGACGCCGCGUGAGUGAAGAAGUAUUUCGGUAUGUAAAGCUCUAUCAGCAGGGAAGAAAAUGACGGUACCUGAUUAAGAAGCGACGGCUAAAUACGAGCCAGCAGCCGCGGUAAUAAGUAGGGGGCAAGCGUUAACAGGAUUUACUGGGUGUAAAGGGAGCGUAGACGGCAGCAUAAGUCUGGAGUGAAAUGACCGGGCUUAACCCCGGACCUGCUGUGGAAACUGUGCAGCUAGAGUGCAGGAGAGGUAAUUGGAAUUCCUAGUGUAGCGGUGAAAUGCGUAGAUAUUAGGAGGAACACCAGUGGCGAAGGCGGCUUACUGGACUGUAACUGACGUUGAGGCUCGAAAGCGUGGGGAGCAAACAGGAUUAGAUACCCGUGUAGUC
rnacentral:rRNA from 1 species